UACGUAGGUGGCAAGCGUUGUCCGGAUUUACUGGGCGUAAAGAGCGCGCAGGCGGUCGUUCAAGUCGCGUGUGAAAGCCCCCGGCUCAACUGGGGAGGGUCACGCGAUACUGAUCGACUCGAAGGCAGGAGAGGGAAGUGGAAUUCCCGGUGUAGUGGUGAAAUGCGUAGAUAUCGGGAGGAACACCAGUGGCGAAGGCGACUUCCUGGACCGGUACUGACGCUGAGGCGCGAAAGCUAGGGUAGCAAACAGG
rnacentral:rRNA from 1 species